rnacentral:Y_RNA from 1 species
AUUUGGUCCGAGUGCAGUGGUUUCAACAGCUCAUUGAUCACAACCAGCUGUCUCUGCUCCAUCUCCAUUCCCACUGCUUCGCUUGACUAGCCUUAA